CCAUGAUUGGUUUAUAAAAUCAAAGGGGGUGAAUACUUUUUACAGCUCAGUGACCCAAAAAUGAGUGGAUGAUUAAAUGUUUCUGUGACUAAGAUGGGAAAGCUGAUGUCAUUCUGGGGCUGAGAUUAGGAAAAGCAGCCCGUUGAGUUGCUACUCUUUGUACUGGGGCGUGAUGGGGUGGAAAGAAAACCUGAAGAUUCAUGAGCAGUCCUGCUCCGCUGCUCGUUCGUCUUCCUUCACCUGCAGCUAGCUGUCCCACCAGGGAGCAGGGAUCAGACUCCACAGACGCUAUGCUCUCCACAAACACCCUCGGCCUCUGCAUUCAUCUGCUCCCCAUUCAGCAAACCGUUAAGUCCCUCUGAUGGAUGACGGGGUGCUUCUUUGGCACAGACUGGUGGGAACACUUCUGGUUCUGGUUAGCAAGCUAAAGCUGCGCCUGAGAGACGGACUAGAGCAUUCUGGCUAGAGCUAUGCUAAACGCUAAGCCAGCCCUGCAGGGCCCUGUGUGAAGAGCUUUGGAUAUUUCUGGGGCCUGAAAGCUUUUUGUUACUCGUCAUGAACACAAAGGAUUCGUCCUUAAUCCGUACCCUUCUUAGAGAAAUAUUGACAGUAAAUCAUCUGAGUCUUUU